AUUGAACGCUGGCGGCAUGCCUUACACAUGCAAGUCGAACGGUAACGGGCCUUCGGGUGCCGACGAGUGGCGAACGGGUGAGUAAUAUAUCGGAACGUACCUUUCAGUGGGGGAUAACGUAGCGAAAGUUACGCUAAUACCGCAUAUUCUGUGCGCAGGAAAGCAGGGGACCUUCGGGCCUCGAGAUGAUUGAGCGGCCGAUAUCAGAUUAGCUAGUUGGUGAGGUAAAGGCUCACCAAGGCGACGAUCUGUAGCGGGUCUGAGAGGAUGAUCCGCCACACUGGAACUGAGACACGGUCCAGACUCCUACGGGAGGCAGCAGUGGGGAAUUUUGGACAAUGGGGGCAACCCUGAUCCAGCCAUGCCGCGUGAGUGAAGAAGGCCUUCGGGUUGUAAAGCUCUUUCGGCCGGGAAGAAAUCGUAUGGGCUAAUACCCUGUGCGGAUGACGGUACCGGCAUAAGAAGCACCGGCUAACUACGUGCCAGCCGCCGCAGUAAAAC
rnacentral:rRNA from 1 species